rnacentral:rRNA from 1 species
GAUGAACGCUGGCGGCGUGCCUAAUACAUGCAAGUCGAGCGAACAGACGAGGAGCUUGCUCCUCUGACGUUAGCGGCGGACGGGUGAGUAACACGUGGAUAACCUACCUAUAAGACUGGGAUAACUUCGGGAAACCGGAGCUAAUACCGGAUAAUAUAUUGAACCGCAUGGUUCAAUAGUGAAAGACGGUUUUGCUGUCACUUAUAGAUGGAUCCGCGCCGCAUUAGCUAGUUGGUAAGGUAACGGCUUACCAAGGCGACGAUGCGUAGCCGACCUGAGAGGGUGUUCGGCCACACUGGAACUGAGACACGGUCCAGACUCCUACGGGAGGAAGCAGUAGGGAAUCUUCCGCAAUGGGCGAAAGCCUGACGGAGCAACGCCGCGUGAGUGAUGAAGGUCUUCGGAUCGUAAAACUCUGUUAUUAGGGAAGAACAAAUGUGUAAGUAACUAUGCACGUCUUGACGGUACCUAAUCAGAAAGCCACGGCUAACUACGUG